UCAUAUAUCUCAGCUUGAAUUGAAAUUGGUCCUUUUCUACCUUUGAUCCCUCCACUUUCAGGGACCCCCUGUCCUUUUCUGUUUGAUGAUAUUUGAAAGAAAAUGGUGAUUUGGUGGCUGUUAAAGUGCAAAGGCCCUUUGUUCUUGAGGUUGUAACAGUUGAUUUGUUUGUCAUAUGAAAUUUGGGACUGGUUCUUCGCAAGUUUCCCCAGAUCUCUGUAGAUGUUGUUGGACUGGUUGAUGAAUGGGCAGCCCGUUUCUUUGAGGAGCUAGAUUAUGUUAAUGAGGGUGAAAAUGGAAUGUGUUUUGCUGAAAUGAUGAAAAAAGACCUUCCACAGGUGUAUAAAAUUUUCUUAAAAUGAUAUAUAUUGGUUUGCUAAAGUUACCUGAAUGGAGUAACUGAAUGAGAUAUGAUUGAUAAUUCCCUGAAUAGUUAUUUAUGUUGGUGAUGGUCAUUCAUUUUAUGGUUUUGCUUAUUGGUUUUAUUGAAGAUAUGAGACUAUUCUAAGUAUGAGGCUGCUCUUGCUUUUUCUUGGUCUACUCUCCCUAAUAAAUCAGUUUUGUGGGAUGUCUUUGCCUCUU